CAAUAGCGUAUAUUAAAGUUGUUGCAGUUAAAAAGCUCGUAGUUGGAUUUGUGGCGUACGGUGUGUUCCGGGCACUUGUUGCCUGAGUAACCUGCUGUUGCCAUCCUUGGGUGGAACCUGUGUGGCAUUAGGUUGUCGUGCAGGGGAUGCCCAUCAUUUACUGUGAAAAAAUUAGAGUGUUCAAAGCAGGCUUAUGCCGUUGAAUAUAUUAGCAUGGAAUAAUGAGAUAGGACUUUUUUGCUAUUUUGUUGGUUUGCGCAAAGAGGUAAUGAUUAAUAGGGACAGUUGGGGGUAUUCGUAUUCCAUUGUCAGAGGUGAAAUUCUUGGAUUUUUGGAAGACGAACUACUGCGAAAGCAUUUACCAAGGAUGUUUUCAUUA
rnacentral:rRNA from 1 species